AUUGAACGCUAGCGGGAUGCCUUACACAUGCAAGUCGAACGGAGUGGCGAACGGGUGAGUACUGUAUCGGAACGUGCCCAGUAGCGGGGGAUAACUACGCGAAAGCGUAGCUAAUACCGCAUACUAUUGGAGCGGCCGAUAUAGGAUUAGCUAGUUGGUGGGGUAACAGCUCACCAAGGCGACGAGCCGUAGCUGUUUUGAUAGGACGAACAGCCAAACGGUGACUGAGACACGGCCCAGACUCCUACGGUGGGCAGCAGUGGGGAAUUGUGGACAAUGGGGGAAACCCUGAUCCAGCCAUCCCGCGUGUUCGAUGAAGGCCUUCGGGUUGGAAAGCACUUUUGGCAGGAAAGCGGUACCUGCAGAAUAAGCACCGGCUAACUACGUGCCAGCAGCCGCGGUAAUUC
rnacentral:rRNA from 1 species